rnacentral:rRNA from 1 species
AACGAACGCUGGCAGCAUGCCUAACACAUGCAAGUCGAACGAGACCUUCGGGUCUAGUGGCGCACGGGUGCGUAACGCGUGGGAACCUGCCCUUAGGUUCGGAAUAACUCCCCGAAAGGGGUGCUAAUACCGGAUAAUGUCUUCGGACCAAAGAUUUAUCGCCUUUGGAUGGGCCCGCGUUGGAUUAGCUAGUUGGUAGGGUAAAAGCCUACCAAGGCGACGAUCCAUAGCUGGUCUGAGAGGAUGAUCAGCCACACUGGGACUGAGACACGGCCCAGACUCCUACGGGAAGCAGCAGUGGGGAAUAUUGGACAAUGGGCGAAAGCCUGAUCCAGCAAUGCCGCGUGAGUGAUGAAGGCCUUAGGGUUGUAAAGCUCUUUUACCCGGGAUGAUAAUGACAGUACCGGGAGAAUAAGCGCCGGCUAACUCCGUG